GACGAACGCUGGCGGCGUGCUUAACACAUGCAAGUCGAACGGAAAGGCCCAGCUUGCUGGGUGCUCGAGUGGCGAACGGGUGAGUAACACGUGGGUGAUCUGCCUCUAACUUCGGGAUAAGCUUGGGAAACUGGGUCUAAUACCGGAUAGGACAAUCGUUUAGUGUCGGUUGUGGAAAGUUUUUUCGGUUAGGGAUGGGCCCGCGGCCUAUCAGCUUGUUGGUGGGGUAAUGGCCUACCAAGGCGUCGACGGGUAGCCGGCCUGAGAGGGUGGACGGCCACAUUGGGACUGAGAUACGGCCCAGACUCCUACGGGAGGCAGCAGUGGGGAAUAUUGCACAAUGGGCGCAAGCCUGAUGCAGCGACGCCGCGUGGGGGAUGACGGCCUUCGGGUUGUAAACCUCUUUCGACAGGGACGAAGCUUUGGUGACGGUACCUGUAUAAGAAGCACCGGCUAACUACGUG
rnacentral:rRNA from 1 species